UGGGGAAUUUUGGACAAUGGGCGAAAGCCUGAUCCAGCAAUGCCGCGUGUGUGAAGAAGGCCUUCGGGUUGUAAAGCACUUUUGUCCGGAAAGAAAUCCUUGGCUCUAAUACAGUCGGGGGAUGACGGUACCGGAAGAAUAAGCACCGGCUAACUACGUGCCAGCAGCCGCGGUAAUACGUAGGGUGCAAGCGUUAAUCGGAAUUACUGGGCGUAAAGCGUGCGCAGGCGGUUUGCUAAGACCGAUGUGAAAUCCCCGGGCUCAACCUGGGAACUGCAUUGGUGACUGGCAGGCUAGAGUAUGGCAGAGGGGGGUAGAAUUCCACGUGUAGCAGUGAAAUGCGUAGAGAUGUGGAGGAAUACCGAUGGCGAAGGCAGCCCCCUGGGCCAAUACUGACGCUCAUGCACGAAAGCGUGGGGGAGCAAACAGGAUUAGAUACCCUGGUAGUCCACGCCCUAAACGAUGUCAACUAGUUGUUGGGGAUUCAUUCCUUAGUAACGUAGCUAACGCGUGAAGUUGACCGCCUGGGGAGUA
rnacentral:rRNA from 1 species